UAUCACGAAACCACAAUUGUGGCUCUUUUUUCUGCCGUCUUUAUCUAAACUUUUUUUUGCAACUUUUGUAAGCUGUGUCUCAGUGGGCGGUCUCUACCCACCAGGAUGAAAGGCCUUUUCUAUUGGUCACUCUCGAUUGAAGUCACAGGUUGACCACACCCACUACGUUUCCCAGAAUCAGUCUGACAGAAGAGCGAGCGAGGUUGUAUAAAGGAGAGAAACAGGUUGUUUACUGGGAAGAAGAUCUGGUGUUGAUAGAGGCUGAUUCUUCAAGGCAAAACCUUAGACCUGAUGCAACAUCAUCCAAUGUUGCAAUCACUCUCAGGAGUGAGAAGAAUGUGAUUCGACAUGCCGCAGCACAGAUAAACACCUGA